ACAUACCCCACUCCUAAAGUCAAAUUCCCUUAUAUUCUUUGCUGCACCAGAAAACACUCCUUGCUCAUCUUCCUUUACUUUUUCUUUUCUUCUUCCUUUGCUCUACCCGGCAGCACCUCUCUUUCACCCUCUCACCAAAAAUCAUAGACAACUCUCUUUAAGAAGAAAUUAAGAGCCUAACACUAAGGUUUCAUCUUCAAAUUUUGGGGUGACGAGAACGAGAACAUGGACACUUGAGCUCCUCGUACAUAAUCUCUCGCGCCUUUUGUUUUCAGUGCACAGGUUCUUCCCGAAAGCAGCGAGAGUAUUAGAGGUGGCAAGGAUUCUGUAUUUUCUCGUUUGUUAGAAUGUAGAGUUUUGUUGUAUAGCAUUUAGCUCUUUUGUUGUAUAGAAGAAAUCAAGAUGUACUUGAUCCUUUGAGCACAGAUGUAAUUCGGUACCUUAUUUUGUUUUGAACCUCAGUUGUAUGUCUUUGGGGUUAGGUUUGUAAUAAGAGUUUUACUAAACAUUUAGUUAUGUAAUAUUUACAUGAAUACCUUAAGUUUCAGCCAAGUGGUAUUUUUCCAAGUUCGAAGGAAAUAAAAUUUCAGGGUUGCCAUCA